CAAUAGCGUAUAUUAAAGUUGUUGCAGUUAAAAAGCUCGUAGUUGGAUUUCUGGUGGGAGCGAUCGGUCUGGCGCUUAGCGCGAGUACUUGCAUCGUCUCCGGCCAUCCUUGGGGAGAGUCUGUCUGGCAUUAGGUUGUCGGGCAGAGGAUCCUCAUCGUUUACUGUGAAAAAAUUAGAGUGUUCAAAGCAGGCUUAUGCCGUUGAAUAUAUUAGCAUGGAAUAAUAAGAUAGGACUUUGGUACUAUUUUGUUGGUUUGCGCACCAAAGUAAUGAUUAAUAGUGACAGUUGGGGGUAUUCGUAUUCCGUUGUCAGAGGUGAAAUUCUUGGAUUUACGGAAGACGAACUACUGCGAAAGCAUUUACCAAGGAUGUUUNCAUUAA
rnacentral:rRNA from 1 species